rnacentral:lncRNA from 1 species
CUGGCUAGAUGUAGAAUUCAAUAGGACACACAUAUAAAAAAAUUGAUCAUGAACCCAUUUGAUAUGAUUGAUUGGAGUUUUGGAUCCAAUCAAAUUCUCGAUAAGCAUGCUAGCAUAUGUGAAAACCCUAGCUCCUUGAAUCGUAUUUGAUUUAGUUUGAAUCUUGUUGAUUGAUCAAACCAAAUUGAGCCUACAGUCAAAUAGGAUUUGGAUCAGAUGUUGGUAGCUACUAGAUGGUGCCACAUUGCCUUGGAAUGCCAAAUGCAAAGAG